GAAGGAUCAGAUCUCAUACAUCGGCGCUGUAUUCCGACAGUCAAUCCCUCAUCCUUGAAAUUAGGAAGUCUGUGACUAUGAUGAAAGAUAUUGCGGUCCACUUGGAGAGAGAUGAGAGAACCCAAAUGGUAAAAGAUCUUGAAGAUGGUGUUGUUCAGUUGUUGGCAGCAUCUGAUGAGUGCAUGCAUCUAUCUGAGGCAAUUCAGUCUAUAGGUGAUACAUUAGAGCCUGGGC
rnacentral:misc_RNA from 1 species